AUCCAGACUCCUACGGGAGGUAGCAGUGGGGAAUAUUGCACAAUGGGGGAAACCCUGAUGCAGCGACGCCGCGUGAGUGAAGAAGUUUUUCGGUAUGUAAAGCUCUAUCAGCAGGGAAGAAAAUGACGGUACCUGACUAAGAAGCCCCGGCUAACUACGUGCCAGCAGCCGCGGUAAUACGUAGGGGGCAAGCGUUAUCCGGAUUUACUGGGUGUGAAGGGAGCGUAGACGGCAUGGCAAGUCAGAUGUGAAAGCCCGGGGCUCAACCCCGGGACUGCAUUUGAAACUGUCAGGCUGGAGUGCAGGAGAGGUAAGUGGAAUUCCUAGUGUAGCGGUGAAAUGCGUAGAUAUUAGGAGGAACACCAGUGGCGAAGGCGGCUUACUGGACUGUAACUGACGUUGAGGCUCGAAAGCGUGGGGAGCAAACAGGAUUAGAUACCCCUGUACA
rnacentral:rRNA from 1 species